CAUCGAUGUCACAAUUAGAAAGGUUUGACAAAUCGGUGAAAUAAUCUGGGUUGUCUUUCAAGACAAAAAAAAAAAAAAAAAAAAAAAAAACAGUGCGCUUACCGAUCCAAAAACAGGGAUGACGUUGUAUCGCAUCAUGUUACAGCAUGUGCGGCUGGUAGAAUGUUACAUAUGGCAAACACGAGGCUUUUACAUAUUUCGUGGACAGGUAUAUAGCGGC
rnacentral:lncRNA from 1 species